UACGUAGGGUGCAAGCGUUGUCCGGAAUUAUUGGGCGUAAAGAGCUCGUAGGCGGUUUGUCGCGUCUGCUGUGAAAACUCGGGGCUUAACCCCGGGCCUGCAGUGGGUACGGGCAGACUAGAGUGCGGUAGGGGAGACUGGAAUUCCUGGUGUAGCGGUGGAAUGCGCAGAUAUCAGGAGGAACACCGGUGGCGAAGGCGGGUCUCUGGACAUUUCCUGACGCUGAGGCACGAAAGCCAGGGGAGCAAACGGG
rnacentral:rRNA from 1 species